rfam:Triticum aestivum genome assembly, contig: Triticum_aestivum_CS42_TGACv1_scaffold_622880_7DS
CAUUUACUCCCUCCGUCCGGAAAUACUUGUCGGAGAAAUGGAUGUAUCUAGACAUAUUUUAGUCCUAGAUACAUCGACUUUUAUCCAUUUGUGCGACAAGUAAUUCCGGACGGAGGGAGUAUAUA